UACUCCUACGGGAGGCAGCAGUGGGGAAUAUUGCACAAUGGGCGCAAGCCUGAUGCAGCCAUGCCGCGUGUGUGAAGAAGGCCUUAGGGUUGUAAAGCACUUUCAGCGAGGAGGAAGGCAUCAUACUUAAUACGUGUGGUGAUUGACGUUACUCGCAGAAGAAGCACCGGCUAACUCCGUGCCAGCAGCCGCGGUAAUACGGAGGGUGCAAGCGUUAAUCGGAAUUACUGGGCGUAAAGCGCACGCAGGCGGUUUGUUAAGUCAGAUGUGAAAUCCCCGAGCUUAACUUGGGAACUGCAUUUGAAACUGGCAAGCUAGAGUCUUGUAGAGGGGGGUAGAAUUCCAGGUGUAGCGGUGAAAUGCGUAGAGAUCUGGAGGAAUACCGGUGGCGAAGGCGGCCCCCUGGACAAAGAC
rnacentral:rRNA from 1 species